AAUCCAAGAAUUGAAGACCAAUUACACGAUAAAUCUAAUUAGGCAAAUCUUGUUUUCUUUAUGCAAUCAAACAUGAGUGUCAAUUCUAUAACUUUGGGUAAAUAAUUUUUGAAUUUUUUUAGUGUGUAUUUUUUUAAAAUUUUUUGUAAGGAUGUCAACCUCAAUUUCAUGUCCUUUAGAUUUGCAAUAGCAUCAUUUUUUUAUGUAGAUAAAUUUAAUUUGGUUGAUGGGCUAUAUUUUCGCAUAUGGCAUGUCAAUUUCAUUUGGCUUAUUGAUCUGAAAAUAUAUUACUAAAUUUCUUUAACAGAACAUGUUAGGUAUAUGAAGUGUUAAUUAGAUUCUUGUAAAAUUUGGAGCUUUUCUUGUAAAACUAAUUUAUUUUCCUAUUUUGGGGUAAUUUUAGAUGUGAAUAUAAAGUGAUAGCCCAUACAUUAUAAUUUUCAUUUUCUUUUGUUUCUAAUAUUUUAUUGCAUUUAUUUUUUUUCUUAUUUUGAUUUUUAUACUAACUUUAUUUAUUUUGUUAUGCAUGAGUUUGAUAUUUGUUUUUUGAGAACAUUAGAAGAUUGAAUGGGAGAAAAUGGGAUUGAAGUCUCAAUCUUGAGAUAUAAGAUUUCAAAUAAAUUUUAUUAAUUUUGAGACUUAAAUUUCCGUAUUGGUCUUUUUGCAUUAAUCAUUUAUUCUUUUGAAUAUAAA
rnacentral:misc_RNA from 1 species